UACAGAGGUCUCAAGCGUUGUUCGGAUUCAUUGGGCGUAAAGGGUGUGUAGGUGGCGCGCUAAGUCGGGUGUGAAAUUUCGGAGCUUAACUCCGAAACUGCAUUCGAUACUGGCGUGCUUGAGGACUGGAGAGGAGACUGGAAUUCAUGGUGUAGCAGUGAAAUGCGUAGAGAUCAUGAGGAAGACCAGUGGCGAAGGCGGGCUC
rnacentral:rRNA from 1 species